UGACCAGCCACACUGGAACUGAGACACGGUCCAGACUCCUACGGGAGGCAGCAGUGGGGAAUAUUGCACAAUGGGCGCAAGCCUGAUGCAGCCAUGCCACGUGUAUGAAGAAGGCCUUCGGGUUGUAAAGUACUUUCAGCGGGGAGGAAGGUGUUGUGGUUAAUAACCGCAGCAAUUGACGUUACCCGCAGAAGAAGCACCGGCUAACUCCGUGCCAGCAGCCGCGGUAAUACGGAGGGUGCAAGCGU
rnacentral:rRNA from 1 species